rnacentral:rRNA from 1 species
UGAGUAACCUGCCCUUAACUCUGGGAUAAGCCUGGGAAACUGGGUCUAAUACCGGAUAUGACUCCUCAUCGCAUGGUGGGGGGUGGAAAGCUUUAUUGUGGUUUUGGAUGGACUCGCGGCCUAUCAGCUUGUUGGUGAGGUAAUGGCUCACCAAGGCGACGACGGGUAGCCGGCCUGAGAGGGUGACCGGCCACACUGGGACUGAGACACGGCCCAGACUCCUACGGAGGCAG